AUUGAACGCUGGCGGAAUGCUUUACACAUGCAAGUCGAACGGUAGAGGGGGCAACCCCUCGAGAGUGGCGAACGGGUGAGUAAUAUAUCGGAACGUGCCCAGUCGUGGGGGAUAACGUAGUGAAAAUUACGCUAAUACCGCAUACGAUCUAAGGAUGAAAGCGGGGGAUCGCAAGACCUCGCGCGAUUGGAGCGGCCGAUAUCAGAUUAGGUAGUUGGUAGGGUAAAGGCCUACCAAGCCAACGAUCUGUAGCUGGUCUGAGAGGACGACCAGCCACACUGGAACUGAGACACGGUCCAGACUCCUACGGGAGGCAGCAGUGGGGAAUUUUGGACAAUGGGGGCAACCCUGAUCCAGCAAUGCCGCGUGAGUGAAGAAGGCCUUCGGGUUGGUUAAAAGGACUCCUUUUGUUCAGGAAGAAACAGCAGCUCUAACACAGUCUGCGAAUGACGGUACCUGCAAA
rnacentral:rRNA from 1 species